GAAUGCUCUCUAAUGAAAACUAUCCAGUAACAAGACUUGAUCUGGACCACACACAUGCAGUCAACCAAGGCCUAAUAACGACAACCGAUUUUGAUGAAAUUGAAAAUCAAACAUUUCCUGGUCAAUGUAACAAAUUGAAAAGGCUAUCAUUUCGAAACAACAAACAAAGCGGGGACACUCAUGUAGCUUGCUUGACAAUGGCUAUUAAAUCCAACAUUUUCGGUAAUCUUGAGAGGAUGCAAUUAUCAAAUACCCUCCCUGACAAUGUUGAGGAGAAUGGAAGACUACUGACUGAACUCUUACCAUCCAUUGCCUCUCACUGUCCUAAUCUGAAUGACCUUGAUCUCUCUGAGAACAAUCUCAGUGUACCUGGAGCUAGUGCAAUAGGAGAGGCCUUUGUAAGACUUGCUACUAAUAGGAAGGAGUUGGAGCUGAACUUAAGUAAGACUAAUCUUGACGGUGAAGCAGCAAAAACAUUAUCUGACAAAGUGUUGGUUUCUUUAGAAGAUGUUUCAAACCUUCUCUCCUGUGAAAUCAAUUUGAGUAUUGAUAACAAUCCACUUGGACACAGCGGUUUGUCAGCCAUCUUUAGAAUGCUCUCUAAUGAAAACUGUCCAGUAACAAGACUUCAUCUGGAAUCAACUAUUCACACUUCCAUUACUGACCUCAGUUUGAAUAAUUCUUUAGAAUCUCUUAACAGCACUACAGUAAGUCUCGGUCUUCGUCGAAAUUUGCUUCAUGGCAAGAACAUAUUCAUACUAGCUGAUUGUAUUCAGUGCUGCCUGUCACUGGAGAAGCUGGAUUGUGAUAAGUGUCGAAUUACUUCAAACGAUAUAUUUACAUUAUUGUCACACCUAAAAUUCCACGAUAUUCAACUAAAGUGUUUAAAACGGUGGGACCUUCAAGACAACAGCAUCGAUGAUGACGCAGUGAAUACUCUUAUUACGUAUUUGCCUUCAGUGUUUCCAUGCAUUGAGGAUAUUGAUCUAGAUGAUAAUCUCGUGAGUACAGAGACAGUGAAGAAACUUGAUGAGUUUUUGAAGGAGAGAAACACGACUGAAGAUGAGGAGUUUGAUUCCACUAGUUCUGAAUCAACAACACCUGAUGAUGCGAGUGACUCUCUGCCAGAGCACACUAGUACUGAUUCUAUUAGUGAGGAUACGGACUUUAAAGCUACUGAUGAAGAUCUGAAUGCACUAAAGGAGGAUAGGUCCCCUACAGCUAGUCAGGAUUCCACAGCUGCUACUGAUAUUUCCAAUUUAACCAGCCAAAAACAACAGCUACAAACAGACUCGUUAUCUUUUCCUUCGCAAGGUUUGCCUAUUGAAACAGUAAAGAGAGACGCUGAAGUCACUAACGAGCAGCUUGACACAACAGUAGAAGAAACACACCUCUCUGAAAUGUCGUCACAAUCUGACAGCAUCCAUAACGACUAUCUUAUGGAGCAAGGCCUCUCAUCUGGACAACAAUGUGACGUGAGGAGUCAUGCAUUCGUACCCGGCACUCAGGCUGCUGAUCAUGAUGUCAUGAACGCUCCUGAGGUGUCUCACACACUAAAAGAAGUACCUAAUAACAGCCUGACCAUUGAAGCACUAAAGAGAGAAACUAAUAUCACUGACGAGCAGCUUGACACAAGAGUAGAAGAAUUAGACCUUCCCAAAUUAUCUUCAUAUUUCGACAACACUAAUGACUAUGUUGAAAUACUGGGGCUCUCACCUGGACAGCAAACUGAUGUCAUUGAAGAGAAGGCUAGAACAGCAUUGAAUCGAACACAUGCUGGAAUAAAGCUGGCUCUGAAAUAUUGGCUGAAUAGAGUUCUUUCAGAGGGUACCUUCAGAGCUCUGCUACUCAUCCUAAUCUCCCUGGACAAAGGAGACGUUGCUAUCAAGGUGGCACAGUAUUUGUCAGCCAAAGCAACCAUUCACUCGGAUCUAAGAAACAAAGGCAACAAAGUUUGCAGCUCUAAAGCAAGUACUCUUGGGAAAGAAAGUGGAGACAAUAAAAUGUAGUAACAUAAUGUUCAAGAGAUUAUCACGGAUAAAGGCACUAAGACAGGCUAAGGAGAAAUUACUGGAAGAAAACGCUCCUGCUGAGUCCAUCUAGAAUCUCAGCCACAAAGCAGUAAAUUCUUUGUUUCACUACACGCUUUAAUGAAUGUACCUGCAUGUAAAUGCAUGAGAUAUAUAAAUGAUUGAUUAUGGCAAACAGGGAGAAAGAGGUACAACGAAUACUCUGAGAAGAUUGUCUUGGUUACAAGAUGCCUGCAUUGUGCCGAUCCGAGUGAAUGGUUGCUGGGUUCAAUGAAACAGCAAAUGAUGGGAAGUAACAACUCAUAUACAUGAAUGUGUGCUGGACAGCCCACUUUGUGUGUACGCGUGUAUCUUGGAGACGUGUUCGACUAGAUGUUGAAGUAAAGUACUGUGCUGACCAAACUAUACUGACAUGGCACCGCAAUGCUGCUUUCGAAUGCUCGAAACAAUAAUGGGAUGCUAUCGAACAUUAUUUAAUUGCCCUGAAUGGUUACCUACAAAUUAAUAUUUGUAAUAACGUUAUUUUGGUAACAAUCUGUUUUCGUCGUCCACCUUGCACCUGUUUCUAUAGCUAAGUCAGGGGCGUACACAAGGUGGUGCUUAGGGUGCUCCAGCACCCCCAUCCAGGCUCUGGUGCUCCAGCACCCUAUCCAGACUCAGAGAAGCUCAAGUAGAUAGUUCAACCAUCACUGGCUGGCUAGAAGGAAGCUACACUUACUGCAGCUAUCUACAGCUUAAUAGUGAUAGUUACAAUAACUUUAUACCAGUUAGAUCUAGCUAGCUAGCCUAAAAAACUUAUCGUUACUGGGAUAUCCAUGGGAACUAAUAAAGAGUGGGGAGGGGCUCAAUAAUAAGGCUAGGCAGCAGGAAGUGGUUUGCUGUAUCAAACACUUGAGCUGGCCUCACAACAUGCAGCACAACAAGGUUCUUGGACCAGGUACAUGAGGUACUGGUGGUCAUACUUUGUACGCUGCCUGUCAUCUCCUGGUAAGCUGAUCAAUCUUUUAGUGGCCUGAAAAGAAAAGAAUCAAGACUGUCGUCAGAUCAAGCAAAGGAACAAACGUUUAUCAUCACUUACACUUCUACAUUUACACAGAGUAGACUAGACAUGAUUGCAUUGACAUUUGACAUACCUUAAGAAGAGUUGGCUAGAGUUUGCCAUCCCAGGCGAAUUGAGCUUCUGGUCGUAAACAUUCUUGACUUGCUGA